GACGUAGGGGGCCAGCGUUGUUCGGAAUUACUGGGUGUAAAGGGUUCGUAGGCGGUGCGGCAAGUUGGGAGUGAAAUCUCUGGGCUUAACCCAGAGGCUGCUUCCAAAACUGCUGUGCUUGAGUGUGGGAGAGGCGCGUGGAAUUGCAGGUGUAGCGGUGAAAUGCGUAGAUAUCUGCAGGAACACCCGUGGCGAAGGCGGCCCUCUGGACGGAUACUGACGCUGAGGCGCGAAAGCGUGGGGAUCAAACAGG
rnacentral:rRNA from 1 species